rnacentral:rRNA from 1 species
AUGCUUGUUAUUCUUGGCUAUACAAAUGAGUUGUCCAAAUCUUUGCAAAAGAGAGAUCAAGAUAUUGUCAAUGCAAUGACACUUAUUAGUUUGGCAAAGAGUAGAAUGCAACACAUGAGGUCGCAUGGUUGGGAAGAAUUUCUUGCAAAGCUAACCUUAUUUUGCAACAAACAUGACAUUCAAGUUCCUUUGUGGGAGGAUAUUUAUGAGCCUAAUCAAAGAUCACGUCGGUAUUAUGAAGUACAAACAAAUGAUGAUCGUUAUAGAAGAGAAGUAUAUCUUGGUGUCAUUGAUCAAACCAUUCAAGAGCUUGACAAUCGGUUUGAUGAGGUUAAUACAGAGUUGCUUAUUUGCAUGUCGGCUUUGAAUCCCCUCAGUUCAUUUGCUUCUUAG